AAUCCGAGAAUUUCACCUCUGACAGUUAAAUACGAAUGCCCCCAACUAUCCCUAUCAAUCAUUACCUCAGCUCUAGAAACCAACAAAAUAGAACCGAGGUCCUAUCUUAUUAUUCCAUGCUAAUGUAUUCAAAGCGUGCGCUUGCUUGAAACACUCUAAUUUCCUCAAAGUAAAUGUCCUAAAUACCGCACCACACAGUCAAGUGCAGCUACGUUCUUCAGGAAGAUGCCAAGGCUGAGCCAGAUGCCUGUCCAGAGGACGGACCGGUCAUCCUCAGCAGAAAUCCAACUACGAGCUUUUUAACCGCAACAACUUUAAUAUACGCUAUUGGAGCUGGAAUUACCGCU
rnacentral:misc_RNA from 1 species